rnacentral:rRNA from 1 species
AUUGAACGCUGGCGGCAGGCCUAACACAUGCAAGUCGAACGGUAGCACAGAGAGCUUGCUCUCGGGUGACGAGUGGCGGACGGGUGAGUAACGUCUGGGAAACUGCCCGAUGGAGGGGGAUAACUACUGGAAACGGUAGCUAAUACCGCAUAUCGUCGCAAGACCAAAGUGGGGGACCUUCGGGCCUCACACCAUCGGAUGUGCCCAGAUGGGAUUAGCUAGUAGGUGGGGUAAUGGCUCACCUAGGCGACGAUCCCUAGCUGGUCUGAGAGGAUGACCAGCCACACUGGAACUGAGACACGGUCCAGACUCCUACGGGAGGCAGCAGUGGGGAAUAUUGCACAAUGGGCGCAAGCCUGAUGCAGCCAUGCCGCGUGUAUGAAGAAGGCCCUCGGGUUGUAAAGUACUUUCAGCGGGGAGGAAGGCGGUGAAGUUAAUAGCUUAACCGAUUGACGUUACCCGCAGAAGAAGCACCGGCUAACUCCGUGCCAGCAGCCGCCGCCG